rnacentral:rRNA from 1 species
CCUACGGGGUGCACCAGUGGGGAAUAUUGCACAAUGGGCGCAAGCCUGAUGCAGCCAUGCCGCGUGUAUGAAGAAGGCCUUAGGGUUGUAAAGUACUUUCAGUUGGGAGGAAGGCGUUGAUGCUAAUAUCAUCAACGAUUGACGUUACCAACAGAAGAAGCACCGGCUAACUCCGUGCCAGCAGCCGCGGUAAUACGGAGGGUGCAAGCGUUAAUCGGAAUUACUGGGCGUAAAGCGCACGCAGGCGGUUGAUUAAGUUAGAUGUGAAAUCCCCGGGCUCAACCUGGGAACUGCAUUCGAAACUGGCAGGCUAGAGUCUUGUAGAGGGGGGUAGAAUUCCAGGUGUAGCGGUGAAAUGCGUAGAGAUCUGGAGGAAUACCGGUGGCGAAGGCGGCCCCCUGGACAAAGACUGACGCUCAGGUGCGAAAGCGUGGGGAGCAAACAGGAUUAGAUACCCGUGUAGUC